rnacentral:rRNA from 1 species
UACGGAGGGUGCGAGCGUUGUCCGGAAUCACUGGGCGUAAAGGGCGCGUAGGCGGCCGUGUAAGUCACCUGUGAAAUCCCGGGGCUCAACUCCGGGGCUGCAGGUGAGACUGCGUGGCUAGAGCACGGUAGAGGCGAGUGGAAUUCCUGGUGUAGCGGUGGAAUGCGCAGAUAUCAGGAGGAACACCGGUGGCGAAGGCGGUUCUCUGGGCAUGACCUGACGCUGAGGAGCGAAAGCAUGGGGAGCGAACAGG